rnacentral:piRNA from 1 species
UGAUCCUUUCUGCAAACACCCAGCCUU